rnacentral:rRNA from 1 species
CGCGUAGGCGGUUAUUUAAGUCAGGGGUGAAAACUCUGGGCUCAACUCAGAGCCUGCCUCUGAAACUGGAUGACUUGAGGGCAGGAGAGGGGAGUGGGAAUUCCCCAGUGUAGCGGUGAAAUGCGUAGAUAUUGGGAGGAACACCAGUGGCGAAGGCGACUCUCUGGCCUGUUACUGACGCUGAGGCGCGAAAGCGUGGGGAUCAAACAG